rnacentral:rRNA from 1 species
UGGGGAAUAUUGGACAAUGGGCGCAAGCCUGAUCCAGCCAUGCCGCGUGAGUGAUGAAGGCCCUAGGGUUGUAAAGCUCUUUCACCGAUGAAGAUAAUGACGGUAGUCGGAGAAGAAGCCCCGGCUAACUUCGUGCCAGCAGCCGCGGUAAUACGAAGGGGGCUAGCGUUGUUCGGAAUUACUGGGCGUAAAGCGCACGUAGGCGGAUAUUUAAGUCAGGGGUGAAAUCCCGGGGCUCAACCCCGGAACUGCCUUUGAUACUGGGUAGCUCGAGUACGGAAGAGGUGAGUGGAAUUCCGAGUGUAGAGGUGAAAUUCGUAGAUAUUCGGAGGAACACCAGUGGCGAAGGCGGCUCACUGGUCCAUUACUGACGCUGAGGUGCGAAAGCGUGGGGAGCAAACA